rnacentral:rRNA from 1 species
AUUGAACGCUGGCGGCAUGCUUUACACAUGCAAGUCGAACGGUAACAGGCCGCAAGGUGCUGACGAGUGGCGAACGGGUGAGUAAUGCAUCGGAACGUGCCCAGUCGUGGGGGAUAAAUACUCGAAAGAGUAGCUAAUACCGCAUACGAUCUAUGGAUGAAAGCGGGGGACCGUAAGGCCUCGCGCGAUUGGAGCGGCCGAUGUCAGAUUAGGUAGUUGGUGGGGUAAAGGCUCACCAAGCCAACGAUCUGUAGCUGGUCUGAGAGGACAACCAGCCACACUGGGACUGAGACACGGCCCAGACUCCUACGGGAGGCAGCAGUGGGGAAUUUUGGACAAUGGGCGCAAGCCUGACCCAGCAAUGCCGCGUGCAGGAAGAAGGCCUUCGGGUUGUAAACUGCUUUUGUACGGAACGAAACGGCUCUGGUUAAUACCCGGGGCUAAUGACGGUACCGUAAGAAUAAGCACCGGCUAACUACGUG